AUGCAGUGUCAUUUCAGCCCCUUUCAAUUUUAUUUAUUUUUUAUUUUUUUUGAGAGGGAGUCUUGUUCUGUCACCCAGGCUGCAGUCCAGUGGUGCGAUCUCGACUCACUGCAAGCUGCGCCUCCCGGGUUCACGCCAUUCUCCUGCCUCAGCCUCCAGAGUAGCUGGGACUACAGUUGGCGUGAUGACAAUGUAUUUGGCCCUGGCAAUAGAUUACAGCUGGUCUAAACCAAUUCUCAGGAUAUCUUAAAACUAGGAGUAGCCUUAAGAUCCUGUUUUGCCAAGAAUACCUACUUGGAAGUCUAGUCAAAAGGUAUUUAUUAAGGUUUUUGCUUUCAUGAUUAAAGGAGAUGUUUGUAGUUACCCAUCCUUUCUUGUUCUUCACCCUUCUUUCUGCCUUGAAUGAAGUCAGGGUAGUUGAGACUGCAAAAGUCAUUUUGUGACCAGAGAGAUCACCUCAACUUCCCUGAGCUUCUGAGUCAAGUCAAUAAGUACCUAUCUCCAGACUUUUUAUUGUAUGAAGGGAGAAAGAGUUCUAUGUUUUAUGCAACUAAUGACUUUUACUUGACUUGAAGGCAUUCCUAAACAUAAAUACUGCUACUUUUACAACUGCUUUUAAGACAUACUUUAGAGAGUUCAUCAAAAUUAAUUGCUCUAGAAGUAUUUAUGAGUUCAUUAAAAAAUAGGGUAGUUUUUAAAGGCAUAAGUCAAAGAAAUUACAGAAUUAUUGUUGGAAAGAACUUUAGAAAUUGUUGAAUUCAGAUGUUCUCAGUGGUGGAUUUUCAUGACAAUUAUUGUUGGAAUUUUAGAGAAAUGCACAUGUCUGGGCCCCAUACCCAGGCAUUGUGGUUCAGGGGAUCUCAGGUGGGCUCCAGGCAUCUUUAUUUUUUUAAAACUACAGGGCGAUUUUAAGUUACUGAUCUAUAUUAGUAAUCUUUCUCAAACAAUGAUCUGUGGACUAACCUGAAAUAUGUGUAUCUAGCAACAGAUUAGAAUUCUUCAGCCUAGAUAGAGGAAGUAACUUUAUGCAACUGUAUUAUUAGAUAAAGUUAAGAUGCUGGUAAGCAUGGGAAGAAAGCAGUCAUUGUAAAUCAAAGUUAAAUAUGGACGAUUUUCUUUCUAGAAAAUAAAAACAUGAGGUUUGAUGUUAUUAUUUCAACUGUCUCAUCUUCCAUGAGAAUUUCACCUUUCAUUCCACUGCUCCAAAUUGUUUAGAUUUCCAGAGUUGACUGAGAUUUAGUCCAAUGGUGUGGAUCUACCUUGUUUGAAAGAUUAGGCUAGGUUAAUGAAUGAAAGCAGCUUGGAGGGGGCUGUUGGCAGAAUGUGGUGCUAGUCGUCAUUGUGACCUUUCCGUUCCCAACUUCUCCACUACGAGAAAGUGAAUUUGCUAUGGAAACUGAUAAAAGCACAGUUUGAUUGCUUUUAUUUCAGUUAUAUGUGCAAUUACUUUAUAAAUUCUUCCAGACCUCAGUUGACAAGUCAAUCAGGUUUCUAUUUAUUAUGUAGUCUCAAAUGAUUUGGAUAAUUUAUUAUUUAAUAAAUACCUGUUCUCCAAAAUGAGCUCUAGUAAUUUUUAGAGAUAGAAGGCAAAUAUUCAAAAAUAGUCAUUAUUUCUAGGCCUAAAAGAAUAAAUUUUCUUAAAUCUCAAAUUGUGACUUAUUAAAGAUAAGUUACUCCACUCUCUUGAGCUCUUUCAACUCCAAUUUAACCAUUUUCCAUUUAAACUAGGAUAGUCUUAUUUUGUUAAUUGUUAGCUCAUUCUAGAAAAUGUAUUUUAUAUGCAUAAAUGUUCAAAUACACAAAUAUAUACAUGUACAUUACAUAUGUCUAUAUAAAUAUGCAUCAUGUAUAUGUGUGUAUAUAGUGAACAGUUAUGUUUAUUCAUGUAUAUAUAAUUGUAUAUAUACAGUAUAUAUGUAUGUAUAUAGAGACACACACAUUUAUUCUAAAGUAUAUUACAUAGUCUCCUAGAAGUAUAUAGAGAAAAUAUUUUUGAAGAUUUUUUCUAUCUUCUCCUAUCCCUUCUGCAUAAACAAGAUCCUGGGCAGCCUGUGGAAUUUAAGAUAUGCUUUAGAGAGUGCUAAAUAUAAAAAAUGCAUCCCAUGUAAAUGGGUCUUAGUAGCUGUGGUUAUCUAAGGCCUUGGAUAUAUUGUCUUUUUGAUUUUAUUCUCGACAGCAAUUGGCAGAGAAGACCUAGGCUUCAAGGGUUCUAGACUUCUCUUGGCUGUAUUAUUAUGUGAACCAUUUCCAGACCAGUAGCCCGGGGCUUUAGGGGCUUAGGCAGAGUUUGCUGAGGUACAAGGCAGUAGAUGCCGUUAGCUGCCUGAACAGAGAAACAGUAUUGUGUUUUGACGAAGAGCAUAGUCUUCAGAGUUUAAUUGCAGCAUUCCCAUUUGCAAGCUGUGAGCCUAGUCAAGCUAUGUGAGAUCUCUAAACUUCACACUUGUUAUCUCCAAAUUUUUUUUUUUAAAGGAUAAGGAUUAAAUGUGAUAACUCUUGUAACAGCACAUAGUGUUAGCUAUCGCUGGGCCUGGAAUGCAGUAGAUGCCCAGCCAAUGUUAAUUGCCAAAUUAAUCAAGACUUUUUCGUGUACAUGGGACUAAAAAAGUAAGUCUCAAGCUAACUUGCAUAGCAUUGGAAAUUAACUAGCUCACAUAACACAGAAGUCAUAUUUUCAAGUUUUCAGGUAGCUUAGUCUUAGAUAGAUGUAGGUUUUCAGGAAACCGAGUAAGCUCAGUGUCUUUCAUCUCUCAAUUACACUUUCUUCUACUUUUGCUUUACUUUCAAAUAGGUUUUCUCUGUUAUUUACAAAGAUGACCCCUAGUAGCUUCUACUUACAUGGUCCUUAGAGCAGAGACCUCAGAAGGAGAGAGUGUAUCUUUCCCAAUAGUUCCAAAAAUUCUCAGAGAAGGUUCUCACUGGCUCAGCUUGGAUCAUGUGCCAAUUAUUUAUCCAAUCAAUCUAAUCAUUUGGGCCAAGGUUUGUAUUGCUCUGAUUAAAUAUGCAAGGUUACAUAUCCACCCCAGAGGUGGAGAUGAGAAGUUGUAAUUGUCUCUCUGUGUGUUGGAGGUGCAGUAAACAUUAUCUGAAACUCAUAGACCUAGGGUAGAAAUGAACUUGUUUUCCCAAAGACAAAUAGGAGUUCUGUUCAGCUACAAGGGACAAAGAAUGUUGGAUAUGGUAAAAGAAAAUCAAUAAUGACCAAAAUAUAAUGACCUCCCAAACUACACAUCUACUCCAUAUGUAAUUCUUGCCAUAUUAUCUUGCUUAUUUUUUAUAGCAUGAACUCAUAUUUAUUAUUAAUCUUUCUUUAUGAAUUGAUUCUCCUCCCACUGUUUAGAAUGUUUCAUGACUUCAGGGAUUAAAUUUAUGUUGUUUGCUGCUAUCACACCGCCUGAGUCUGUAAUAGUGUUCUUUUAUUUUUAGCUUAAUAAGUGUUGAAUAAAUUUUAAAAAUAGAUAUAGUUGAUGCACUCUGUUUUUGUUAUUCAGUGUGACAUGCCAGCAAGGAGGUCAUCUUCAAAUUCCCUGCUUUCUUAAAAGAAAACACAUUUUUUUUCUACCUUUACUGAGAAAUUCUUGUCACCAUUAUUAUGUUUUCUAUGGCUACAAUUAAGCCAAUAUUUUUAUCCAUAACUCCUUUAGCCAUAAUUUCACAGCUUCAGCCAUGUCAAAUUCCACUGCAAACACGUGGGCACAGUUUUCUAACUGGUCAUUUGCAAACUGCUAUUAUGAGCUUAGAAUAGAUUGCUGAAUAAUCUGAGUCUUUGUCAUCAAAGAUAAUGUCUUAGUCUGUUUGUGCUGCUACAACAAAAUACCCGAGACUGCAUAAUUCAUAAAGAACAGAAAUUUAUUUUCUCACAGUUCUGGAAACUGAGAAGUCCAAGAUCAAAGUGCUUGCAGAUUUGGUUGUCUGGUGAGGGCUGAUCUCUUGUUUCCUCACACAGCAGAAGGGCAGGGAA
rnacentral:lncRNA from 1 species